UACGUAGGUGGCAAGCGUUGUUCGGAAUUACUGGGCGUAAAGCGCGCGUAGGCGGCGAUGCAAGUCAGGGGUGAAAGCCCACAGCUCAACUGUGGAAUUGCCUUUGAAACUGUAUUGCUUGAGUGUUGGAGGGGAUAGCGGAAUUGCUAAUGUAGAGGUGAAAUUCGUAGAUAUUAGCAGGAACACCGGUGGCGAAGGCGGCUAUCUGGACGGCUAUUGACGCUGAGACGCGAAAGCGUGGGGAGCAAACAGG
rnacentral:rRNA from 1 species